GGGGAAUAAGAACUNGNAGGUACCUGAGGAAUCAGCAUCGGCUAACUCCGUGCCAGCAGUCCGCGGUAAUACGGAGGAUCGCAAUNCGUUAUCCGGCAAUGAUUGGGCGUAAAGCGUCCGCAGGUGGUUUAUCAAUGUCUGCUGUCAAAGAGUUGGGCUCAACCAAAUAAAGGCANUGGAAACUGACANACUGGAGUGCGGUAAGCGGCAGAGGGAAUUCCUGUCUGUAGCGGNGGANAUGNGUACAGAUCAGGANGANCACCGGUGGCGACAGNGCUCUGCUUGGGCCCU
rnacentral:rRNA from 1 species